rnacentral:misc_RNA from 1 species
UCGUAACAAGGUUUCCGUAGGUGAACCUGCGGAAGGAUCAUUACCGAGUGCGGGUCUUUAUGGCCCAACCUCCCACCCGUGACUAUUGUACCUUGUUGCUUCGGCGGGCCCGCCAGCGUUGCUGGCCGCCGGGGGGCGACUCGCCCCCGGGCCCGUGCCCGCCGGAGACCCCAACAUGAACCCUGUUCUGAAAGCUUGCAGUCUGAGUGUGAUUCUUUGCAAUCAGUUAAAACUUUCAACAAUGGAUCUCUUGGUUCCGGCAUCGAUGAAGAACGCAGCGAAAUGCGAUAACUAAUGUGAAUUGCAGAAUUCAGUGAAUCAUCGAGUCUUUGAACGCACAUUGCGCCCCCUGGUAUUCCGGGGGGCAUGCCUGUCCGAGCGUCAUUGCUGCCCUCAAGCCCGGCUUGUGUGUUGGGCCCUCGUCCCCCGGCUCCCGGGGGACGGGCCCGAAAGGCAGCGGCGGCACCGCGUCCGGUCCUCGAGCGUAUGGGGCUUCGUCUUCCGCUCCGUAGGCCCGGCCGGCGCCCGCCGACGCAUUUUUUUGCAACUUGUUUUUUUCCAGGUUGACCUCGGAUCAGGUAGGGAUACCCGCUGAACUUAAGCAUAUCA